rnacentral:rRNA from 1 species
AUUGAACGCUGGCGGCAUGCCUUACACAUGCAAGUCGAACGGUGUCUUCGGAUAUAGUGGCGCACGGGUGCGUAACACGUAUGCAACCUACCUUACAUUGGGGGAUAGCCUUUCGAAAGGGAGAUUAAUACCGCAUAAGACAGUAGCUGGGCAUCCAGCAGCUGUUAAAGAUUUAUCGAUGUAAGCUGGGCAUGCGUCCAAUUAGCUAGUUGGUGAGGUAACGGCUCACCAAGGCAAUGAUUGGUAGGGGAACUGAGAGGCCAAUCCCCCACGAUGGCACUGGGAUGCGGGCCAGAAUCCUACGGGAGGCAGCAGUAGGGAAUAUUGGGCAAUGGACGCAAGUCUGACCCAGCCAUGCCGCGUGCAGGAUGAAGGCGUUAUGCGUUGUAAACUGCUUUUAUACAGGAAGAAACGACUCUUGCGAGAGGCAUUGACGGUACUGUAUGAAUAAGCACCGGCUAACUCCGUGCCAGCCGCCGCGGUAA